GAUGAACGCUGGCGGCGUGCCUAAUACAUGCAAGUCGAGCGAACAGACGAGGAGCUUGCUCCUCUGACGUUAGCGGCGGACGGGUGAGUAACACGUGGAUAACCUACCUAUAAGACUGGGAUAACUUCGGGAAACCGGAGCUAAUACCGGAUAAUAUAUUGAACCGCAUGGUUCAAUAGUGAAAGACGGUUUUGCUGUCACUUAUAGAUGGAUCCGCGCCGCAUUAGCUGGUUGGUAAAGUAACGGCUUACCAAGGCAACGAUGCGUAGCCGACCUGAGAGGGUGAUCGGCCACACUGGAACUGAGACACGGUCCAGACUCCUACGGGAGGCAGCAGUAGGGAAUCUUCCGCAAUGGGCGAAAGCCUGACGGAGCAACGCCGCGUGAGUGAUGAAGGUCUUCGGAUCGUAAAACUCUGUUAUUAGGGAAGAACAAAUGUGUAAGUAACUAUGCACGUCUUGACGGUACCUAAUCAGAAAGCCACGGCUAACUACGUG
rnacentral:rRNA from 1 species